AUAUAUAUAUAUAUAUAUAACCGAGGCUGGCUGUGUGUGUGUGUACGUAAAUGUAAUUUACGCACGUCCACAAAUUAACACGCAUGUCGCUCCAAUUUCAG